rnacentral:rRNA from 1 species
CCUACGGGUGGCAGCAGUGGGGAAUAUUGGACAAUGGGGGCAACCCUGAUCCAGCCAUGCCGCGUGUGUGAAGAAGGCCCUCGGGUUGUAAAGCACUUUCAGUGGGGAAGAACGCCUGGUGGUUAAUACCCAUCAGGAAAGACAUCACUCACAGAAGAAGCACCGGCUAACUCCGUGCCAGCAGCCGCGGUAAUACGGAGGGUGCGAGCGUUAAUCGGAAUUACUGGGCGUAAAGCGCGCGUAGGUGGCUUGAUAAGCCGGUUGUGAAAGCCCCGGGCUCAACCUGGGAACGGCAUCCGGAACUGUCAAGCUAGAGUGCAGGAGAGGAAGGUAGAAUUCCCGGUGUAGCGGUGAAAUGCGUAGAGAUCGGGAGGAAUACCAGUGGCGAAGGCGGCCUUCUGGACUGACACUGACACUGAGGUGCGAAAGCGUGGGUAGCAAACAGGAUUAGAUACCCCUGUAGUC